UACGUAGGGGGGCAAGCGUUGUCCGGAUUCAUUGGGCGUAAAGAGCUCGUAGGCGGCUUGGCAAGUCGGGUGUGAAAACUUCAGGCUCAACCUGGAGCGGCCACUCGAUACUGCCAUGGCUUGAGUCCGGUAGGGGACCACGGAAUUCCUGGUGUAGCGGUGAAAUGCGCAGAUAUCAGGAGGAACACCAAUGGCGAAGGCAGCUCGCUGGGACGUGACUGACGCUGAGACGCGAAAGCGUGGGGAGCGAACAGG
rnacentral:rRNA from 1 species